rnacentral:rRNA from 1 species
GACGAACGCUGGCGGCGUGCUUAACACAUGCAAGUCGAACGGAGCGAAUGAAAGCUUGCUUUUAUGAGCUUAGUGGCAAACGGGUGAGUAACACGUAGACAACCUGCCGACAGGAUGGGGACAACAUUCCGAAAGGAAUGCUAAUACCGAAUGAAGCGGAGGAGAGGCAUCUCUCUUCCGUGAAAGAUGGCCUCUUUUUAUGCUAUCACCUGUCGAUGGGUCUGCGUCUGAUUAGCUGGUUGGUGAGGUAACGGCUCACCAAGGCGACGAUCAGUAGCCGGUCUGAGAGGAUGAACGGCCACAUUGGGACUGAGACACGGCCCAGACUCCUACGGGAGGCAGCAGUGGGGAAUCUUCCGCAAUGGGCGCAAGCCUGACGGAGCAACGCCGCGUGAGUGAAGAAGGUCUUCGGAUCGUAAAGCUCUGUUGACGGGGACGAACGUGCCAAGGGUGAAUAAUCCUUUGCAAUGACGUACCUGUCGAGGAGCCACG